CCCGCGUCACGCAUGCCGGGCAGCAGCAGGACCUCAUCCCACGCCGUUGACGUCAGUGGUUUUCCCCUCACAUCACCCAGCGUGUCCGGGCAGAUCCGGGGAGCUCUGCUGCAACCCAACCCCUGUUCUGGCGGAUGCUUUUCGAUUCCCUCCUGCACAAUCACAUUGGGGACACCCAGCACCGAGGGAGCCGGUCCCUUCCCUCGCCUAACUCAUGGUUGUCUCCGACUGCCACCGAUGCUGCCGGGCACAGCGUGAGGCUUGUUGCACUUUCAGUCUGUGAACAUCUUAACGUCCUGCUUCCUUUGGGAAGGGCGAGUGCUUCUGCAAACAGCCCCUGCACAUCGUGCUGUUGCUGGCACGGCUCUGUUUUCCCAGUGAUCCUGCCCCGACCAACAACCAUCCAAAGAUGAGCCACGCAGGGCCCGGGAGGAAGGUUUUUCCUUCGCUCACCAUCUUCAGGUAGCAGCCGUGACAAGAGUGCAAUCCCACAGCUGGUGUCCCAUUCCUCCUGAUUUCCCUCUGCUCUCCUGGGGACAAAACAGUGACAUUUAGUGGCUGCUACCCACCAGCCCCACCCCAUCCCAUCCCACCCCAUCCCACCUUGGAGGAUUGUGUCACCAUGGUCUUACCCACCUGCACGACUAUAUAAUCACUUACGGAGUCUAGGGAUGUGGUUUUUUGCUGGAGUACAGAGGGAUGUUGUUUGCUAAUAAUGUUUGGAGCCAUCAGGGUGGGAGAAUCCAGGAUGACACAGAGGCUUGUUCACGGUGGGACUUUUCAGUGUGAGUCCACCCACAGGCUUGACCAGUGUGUGGUUCUCACAGGCAUUGCUGCUUAAAUACAACACAUCCUCAGUAAAUUCAGCCUAACCCGGGCUGUAAUUGGGUAACAGAGCCCUAAUGCAAGCAGAUUUUUACACCUGUGCAACACGGCUGAUGGCAGGUGAACCAUCAGGAUGAAUGGCAAAACACCCUGCUGUGUUGACCAGCCCUAUGUCCACCUCAUUCAUUUUUUCCCGUCACUCUUCCGUGCAUAUGGAGAGCGCAAAGAAGACACAAUGGCUUGGCAAAAGAGCCACUGAACGUCUUGGCUUCGCUGCAAAACCAGCAAAGUCAAAGCCAAAGGAAAAUAGUGUUGUAAUUUCUGAGGGGUCUUGUAAUAUCUCAUGUUUGCUUCAGCAUUCAGGGAGGAAUUUGACAGUACUCAACAAAGAAACCUUUCUCUAUAGCAACCGGCCCCUCCAGGACAUCUUGGGGAGCUUUACACAAUGCAAAUGGAAAAGCACUGAGUCGUGAAUAUCUGGGCUGCGGAUUGAAAGCAACGUUAAAAAAAGCAACACAGGAUUUCAAUUUGGCUCUAGAAGUGCCAAUAGCAGUAACAAUCCAAUACCCACUGAACAAGAAUUGCAUCACUCCGGGCCAGAGAGGCCUCUCCACGCCUGGGGCAAACGGGACGUGAAAACACAGCAAACAGCUUUGCGUUUAUUUAUGUAUCGCUGAGCAAGUUAACGUUAGCGAAAGGUGUCAGUGCGAUGAAAGCGCCUUCUUUUGUAGAUGCCAGCCCGGCUCUGCAGUCACGUUUGAUCUGAUCUGAGCUUACCGGGGUUGCAAUGCCACCGAAAAUCAUCGAAUCUGGGUGUGCUCCGAGUGCAAGCGGCAAACGAGGGGACCAGAGUAAAUUCAUCUCUUUCUACGGCCAAAAUAUCUUCUUUUCCCCCCAAAACGCUUUCCCUUCCAACACCGUCUGUAGCUGCUGCGAACAGCAUGGUCCUCCAGAACAGCCCGAGCAUCCUGCGAUGGAGAAGAUGCUCAACGCGAGGGACCCAACGCAGGUCGUGGUUCCCCAACAUUGCUCCCCAGCUGGAGCCUCACGUUGGCGAUGCGUAUGCGGUAAUGGCAACAGAGAACACCCUUCAGGUUAUAGAUGCUCUCGAGUAGCUCAUCAAUGGUUAAUUUUGCCAGCCAGGAGAAGAAAAGCUGCUGGGAGAUGACUCCCCACUGCGAUUUUGUAGCUGUUCUGGAGGGACGGGGCUGUAUGAAACACUGUUUACCCAGGGAUGUAAAGGAAAGGAAGAAACAACCGCUGAUAAUAAAUAAAACGUUGGAAAGAUU